GGCUACGGAGAACUCACCUCUGUGCCGGUUGCUUUCCGUCGGUCUCCAUGUCCGUGGUGAUUGGAUGGAUUCUUGUCGAGCUUCCUUGGCUUGAGCUGAAGACGAGAAAUUUCAGCAGAGAAUACAACAGAACUCUUGAAUCUCACCUCAAACUGACUUCCCGAGAAGAUGCAGAGAGUGGAAGGACCUGGAUCUUCCUUCUUGGAGCUACAAUCUCCGGUGUAGAGAUGGGUGCUUCUGGAGGAAACGUAAGCUGAUGACUGCUCUUGCUUGGGCCUACUGUCAUUGGAACUGUCAAGCUCAUCUUAUAAGGCUUUUAAGCUAUCCUGCAAAAAUUGGCACCAGACAUUGAAACUAUGCUUGAUGGUAGAUUGGCCCUGGAAUUGCCCUGUUAGCAAAUUUGAUUAGCACUCUAUUCUUUUACAGAAAGCAGGCGACCUUUUGGGCAAGGUGCAUAAGGAAGUGUGUGAAGGAGCCAUGUUUCUUGUGACAGCGAUGGACGAACCUCAAAGCGUAAAAAGUCGUGAAACAUUUCUUGUGCAACGUAAGUGUUCAUUUCGUGAUGCCACCAGUUUACUUGUGCAAUUAAAGAUCGCCAGGUUGUAAUCUAUUGCUAACACUUCAGCCGUGUGUUUAACCAAUCGAGCGUCGGUGUUUGAAGGCUGGUGGGUGCAGACCAAAUUCCUGAAUUCGUGGCUUUUGUUCAUUUCGAGGAUGAGCUAAAGAGAUCAUGGUAU